rnacentral:rRNA from 1 species
GGCUACUGAUUGCUUAUUGCACCACAUGUGUUUUUCUUUGAAACAAACUUGCUUUGGCGGUGGGCCCAGCCUGCCGCCAGAGGUCUAAACUUACAACCAAUUUUUUAUUAACUUGUCACACCAGAUUAUUACUUAAUAGUCAAAACUUUCAACAACGGAUCUCUUGGUUCUCGCAUCGAUGAAGAACGCAGCGAAAUGCGAUACGUAAUAUGAAUUGCAGAUAUUCGUGAAUCAUCGAAUCUUUGAACGCACAUUGCGCCCUCUGGUAUUCCGGAGGGCAUGCCUGUUUGAGCGUCGUUUCUCCCUCAAACCGCUGGGUUUGGUGUUGAGCAAUACGACUUGGGUUUGCUUGAAAGACGGUAGUGGUAAGGCGGGAUCGCUUUGACAAUGGCUUAGGUCUAACCAAAAACAUUGCUUGCGGCGGUAACGUCCACCACGUAUAUCUUCAAACUUUGACCUCAAAUCAGGUAGGACUACCCGCUGAACUUAAGCAUAUCAAAAGCGGGAGGAA